GACGAACGCUGGCGGCACGCUUAACACAUGCAAGUCGAACGGAACUCAAGGGAGCUUGCUCCUGAAGGUUUAGUGGCGAACGGGUGCGUAACACGUGAGAAACCUGUCCCGAACUUGGGAAUAACAGCCGGAAACGACUGCUAAUACCGAAUAUCUUCGUAACGUCGCAUGGCGAAUCGAAAGAAAGCUUUAUGCGGGUU
rnacentral:rRNA from 1 species